CAAAGGAAAAGACUUCUGAAUCAAGUUCCAAGUCAGAGUUUGAGCGUUUCAUUUUGUGUAGCCUUCUAAAGUUGGUAUGAGCAGAUGAUGAAGACUUACUUCCUGAGGCUUUCAAUCUGUUGGGGCACCAGAGUGCUCUCUUCUCCAGUGGCUACCAGGUGUCUGGAGAUCAGCCUGUCUGGCUCAUGUAAAAGUCAAGGGCUGGGGAUGAUGCUGAGACAAUACACAGAAGGGACUGCACCCAUGGAGGAGCAAAGUAUUUUGGAAAACUAAAAGGAUGACAUGUAACUGAGAAGAUGCCAAAAUUUGAACAUUUCCACCUUGACUCUGACCUAAAACUCUAUUAAAUAUAACAAGACACUUCUUCCUCCCUUCCUUGUGUAUUCUGAAUUUAAUGUUAUAUGAUGCUGUAACAAAGAUUUAUGUUUGGGUUGGACUAGAGCACCUCUGAGAAUUAAGAUUUAUAAGAGUAGAU
rnacentral:lncRNA from 1 species